rnacentral:rRNA from 1 species
AUGAAGAAGGCACAAGAGAAGCUUGGAUCAAUGUUGGCGCGAAACCCUGGUUUGUCGCGUGAUUUCAAUGAAUGUGUUGACUUCAGCUUGACACCAGAGGAGUUUGAGACAGGAUGGACUGCUCUGCUGUUGAAGUAUGAGGGUAUGGUUGACACCCACUUUGAGAAUCUAUAUAACUACCGGGCAACGUGGGUUCCUUGUUACUUCAAGCACCAGUUCUUCCCUUUCUUGCAAUCAACCCAGCGCAGUGAGGGGGUUGAACACUGUCCUUAA